GAUUCACAAAUCCACUGCCUUGAUCCACUUGGCUACAUCCGCCC
rnacentral:tRNA from 57 species